CGGCCAGUGGCGGAGCGGUUUAAUUCACCUCCAUAUCAAGGAGAAUGUCGCGGGUUCGAUUCCCGUCUGGUUUA
rnacentral:tRNA from 1 species